AAACCCCAUCCGGUCACUUUCUUUUUAUUUUUCUCCUUCUCUUUCUCUCUCUUUCCUUCUUCCCUCCCUCUCCUCUCUAAGGAUAAUUUACCAAAUUGAUAACUAAGGGAAAUUGGACAGUUUCGAUUGUAUAGUUAGACGGUGGGAUAGAGACGAUUGACAGAGAAAUUUGAACGGAUAAUCAGAAGACCAGAAGACCUGCGAGCUCGAGAAGUAGACGUUGGACAUUAGAUAGAGUUCAAGGUAGACAGGGAGGUGAGCUUGGUUCAGAUUCUUAGUAGCUGUCAGCUGAUUGAGAGCACUCCAUUGUUCGGAGGUGCUUAUGUUUAUUCCUUUGGUUCCUUUAUGUAUUUCGCGCACGACGGAGUCUUGUUCCAUCUAUAUGUAUAAUAUGUCAGUAGAGGCUCAUAGACGCGCAGUGUGGGUUAGAUGGUCUCACAAGAUUACUAUGUUAUAUUUGUAUAUGUUAUUUUGAUAGCCUAAGGGGCACGUGUAUAUAAAAUUAUUUGUGUUUUCAAAAGAAAAA